AUUGGACGCUGGCGGCAGGCCUAACACAUGCAAGUCGAGCGGAUGAAGGUAUCUUUCUCCUGGAUUCAGCGUCGGACUGGUGUGUAAUUCCUAUGAAUCUGCCUGGUAGUGGGUUAUAACGUCCUUUAACGGGCUCUAAUACCGCAUACGUCCUGUGGGUGUUAUUUUUUGUUCUUCGGACCUCACGCUAUCAUAUGUGCCUAGUUCGUAUUAGCUAGUUGGUGGGGUAAAGUCCUACCAAGGCGACGAUCCGUAACUGGUCUGAGAGGAUGAUCAGUCACACUGGAAGUGAGACACGGUAAAGACGACUAAGGGAGGCAGCAGAGGGGAAUAUUGGACAAUGGGCGAAAGCAUGAAAAAGAAAAGCCGAGUGUGUGAAGAAGGUCUUAGGAUUGUAAAGAAAGUUAAGUUGGGAGGAAGGGAAGUAAGUUAAUAACUUGAUGAUUUGACGUUAACAAAAGAAUAAGCACCGGCUAACUACGUG
rnacentral:rRNA from 1 species